GCGCCCGUAGCUCAACUGGAUAGAGUAGCAGACUUCGAAUCUGAAGGUUGGAGGUUCGAGUCCUCCCGGGCGUGCCA
rnacentral:tRNA from 1 species